rnacentral:rRNA from 1 species
UACGGAGGGUGCAAGCGUUAAUCGGAUUUACUGGGCGUAAAGCGCGCGUAGGCGGCUAAUUAAGUCAAAUGUGAAAUCCCCGAGCUUAACUUGGGAAUUGCAUUCGAUACUGGUUAGCUAGAGUGUGGGAGAGGAUGUUAGAAUUCCAGGUGUAGCGGUGAAAUGCGUAGAGAUCUGGAGGAAUACCGAUGGCGAAGGCAGCCAUCUGGCCUAACACUGACGCUGAGGUGCGAAAGCAUGGGGAGCAAACAGG